CGGCGGACGGGUGAGUAACACGUGGGUAACCUACCUAUAAGACUGGGACAACUUCGGGAAACCGGAGCUAAUACCGGAUAAGAUAUCGAACCGCAUGGUUCGAUAGUGAAAGANGGUUUUGCUAUCACUUAUAGAUGGACCCGCGCCGUAUUAGCUAGUUGGUGAGGUAACGGCUCACCAAGGCAACGAUACGUAGCCGACCUGAGAGGGUGAUCGGCCACACUGGAACUGAGACACGGUCCAGACUCCUACGGGGAGGCAGCAGCG
rnacentral:rRNA from 1 species